CACCAAUAAAAAUGUAUCUCUGGCCUCUGGCUGUUUUUCAAUUACAGUAGCACAUGAUGGCGCAACGGCGAAAAAGCCGUUAAAAAUAAAAGACGAAGGUCUGCAGCAAGCACAUAAAGAAAUUCGUCAGGUCUCAUAAGGCUCCUAAUAGAUUGACUGCAUGUUUGCAGUUAAUGCGUGAAGUGGUAAUUAUCUUCAUGCAGCGAGACCUCCACCGCAUGAAGUUGAUAAUGACUUCACACAUUAACCGCAAACAAGUCAAUCUGUUAGCGGCCUAACUCAUUCCGUAAGCUAGUUGUGAGAGCGAUCGAAGGAAUUUAUCUUUGAGUUUGUACGAUCUUUGUAUCAACUAUAAAAACAAAUUAUUAUUAUUAUUGCAAGUAAAUAAAUAAAUAAAUAAACCUGUACAUGAUACGA